rnacentral:rRNA from 1 species
UACGUAGGGGGCAAGCGUUGUCCGGAAUUAUUGGGCGUAAAGAGCUCGUAGGCGGUCUGUUGCGUCGGCUGUGAAAACCCGAGGCUCAACCUCGGGCCUGCAGCCGAUACGGGCAGACUAGAGUUCGGCAGGGGAGACUGGAAUUCCUGGUGUAGCGGUGAAAUGCGCAGAUAUCAGGAGGAACACCGGUGGCGAAGGCGGGUCUCUGGGCCGAUACUGACGCUGAGGAGCGAAAGCGUGGGGAGCGAACAGG